GGUCAUUUUGUUUGUGUGCAGUUUGCGGCACCAUCAGGAAAGAUGGGGAGUUUCAGGACUGGCUGUUGUGCCCAGCAAAGGAGACUGUGCCACGCUGGUCUCGGACAGCCGCUCUCUUACCUCAGGACCCACCCCUGGUCCCAGCUCCUCCACAGCGCUGCCAGACGAUGAGUGGGCUUCCACACUGUCCCCCAUCAGCACCGCCUCUGCCCGCACCACCCCUACUCUGCAGGAGAGUAGAUCUUCCCCCACGCAUUUGAUAGAGCGGCAGGGGCCUAUGCAGUCCUUGGCCAGGUGGCUGAUCUAGAAACAUUGCUGGCACUUCAUAGUCUUACAAGUUCUUCUAUAUAUGCCUGGUAAAGACACAAAUGGCAGGAGGGAGGCUGGCUUUGAUAAAAUAGGUAGCCUCUUGCCUUGCCCAAAGUAAAAUAUGCUGAUGAGUGGCUAUACCCGUCCGUUCCUGCAGGGGUGGGACACAGAUGAACUAAAAAGCGUCUCCGUCCAGUCCAGAUGCCAAGAAGGUCCCAGACUUCUUUGUAUCCAGGGAAGAAGUUGGCAAAAGCCCCCAGGAAAGCUACCACGACAUCCGCUGACACAAAGGGGUUGAAGACGUGGACAGUCAGAGCUCUGUCCUCCAGAGUGGCACGAUGGAGUAGGGGAGCAGCUUGGAACGCAUGGCACUCACCCUACACGUCUCCAACACUCUCCGAUAACAUUCAUCGGUCACCAGUGUGACGUCGAAGAAGGACAACGGCCCAUUCCUCUGGAGGCAGGAAAUAACCUCCGCUGGAAGUCCCAGGAAUCCAAAGAUGAUUUCACGAACGAAAGAGAUCUGCUCGUGAAAUCUGACAUCGUCCCGGUUCUUUGAGCUGAAGCAGCUGGUAUUCUUCAAAGCCUGCAUCCUUCCAACAAUGCUCUGUUGUCUUCCCCAGGGGCUCCCAACAUCUUCAAGGAAAACCCUGUUCUGGACUAUCUAGUACAUAGUAGUUCAAACAAAAUCUCUGCAUCACCCUCUGGGGUGAAUGGACAAGCCACCCGUAACCCAGCAGGUGUAACAGAGGAGACGGGACACCAGGUCUUAAGUUGUUGAAUGACUACCGCACUGCUAUAAAGGAUUGAAACACUUCAUAUGACCUACUGAGAUUUUAUGAACAUUUGACUAUGUUUUUGUCUAAGAUUUGUGUGAUGCUUCUUCUGACUGUUCCAUACAGUCUAUGUUCUACCUGUGGUUGGGCUGAAUAUGCAACAGAUGGACGAUGUUGUCCUAUGUGUACACCUGGGUAUUUUGUGGCUGAGGAUUGUACAUCGACAUCCAUCACUAUAUGUCGUCCAUGUCCUGUAUCCACUUUCACUGAUAAACCACAUGGACUUCAUACUUGCAGUCCCUGUGUGGUCUGUA